AUGGAUUCCAGAACAGCAUUCUGCGGCGCUUUGCUACUGCUCGUGACACUGCUGCCUCUUUCAGCUAGCGCGUCGAGCAAACUCUACAUCGUGUAUAUGGGGGAGAAGAAGCACGAUGACCCGUCCAUGGUCACCGCGUCUCACCAUGACAUGCUAACCUCUGUUUUUGGGAGCAAGGAUGAAGCCUUGAGGUCGAUAGUUUACAGUUACAAGCAUGGAUUUUCUGGUUUCGCAGCGAUGCUCACUGAGUCUCAGGCUGAGGCAAUUGCAAAAUUCCCUGAAGUUGCCACUGUGGAGCCUAACAUUUUUCACGAAACACACACAACUCGGAGUUGGGACUUUCUUGGCCUUGACCAUAACCAACCAGCACAACAGCCGGGACUACUCAGAAAAGCAAAGUACGGUGAAGAUGUCAUCGUGGGUGUGAUCGAUACAGGCAUAUGGCCUGAAUCACGAAGCUUUGACGACAACGGUUAUGGCCCUGUGCCGGCACGGUGGAAAGGGAAAUGCGAGACUGGCGAGGAGUUCAACGCCACAAGUUGCAACAAAAAGAUCAUUGGUGCACGGUGGUAUGGCAGAGGCAUCAGCGCUGAGUUGCUAAAGGGCGACUACAAAUCGGCUCGGGACAACAACGGCCAUGGCACGCACGUCGCCUCAACUAUCGCCGGCGGGGAAGUGCAGGGCGUGAGCUAUGGAGGACUGGGCAUGGGCACGGCACGAGGCGGGGCACCACGUGCGCGGCUUAGUAUCUACAAGGCGUGCUGGGUGGGCGGGAGUUGCUCUGGUGCGGCUGUCCUUGCGGCUGUUGAUGAUGCCAUACACGACGGUGUGGACGUCUUGUCGCUCUCGAUUGGAGGGGCUGGUCAGCAGUUCCCUGGGACGCUCCAUGCUGUGCAAAGAGGGAUCUCUGUUGUGUUCAGUGGAGGGAACGAUGGACCUGUGCCGCAAACUGUGGGUAAUGCCCUGCCGUGGGUUACGACGGUGGCCGCUAGCACGAUUGACCGGUCUUUCCCGACCUUGAUAUCGCUGGGAAACAAAGAAAAGCUCGUGGGGCAAUCUCUAAACUACAACGCAGCUAUGAACAACAGCGGCUUUCAGGACCUUGUUCAUGUGCAGAGCUGCGACACAGAAUCACUAUCAUUGAGCAAUGUCACUGGCAAAACCGUCCUCUGUUAUGCACCAGCGCAGGCGGCCAUCACGCCACCCAGGGCAGAACUUCAUUCUCUCAUCAAUCGUACUAUCGAGGCCGGCGCAAAGGGCCUCAUCUUCGCACAAUACACUGUCAACCUUCUCGAAAUCCUGACCAGCUGCGAGGGAUUUAUGUCUUGUGCACUGGUGGAUUUCGAGAUCGCACAAAGAAUCGCCUCCUACUCAAAAAUGACUGAGAGUCCGGUGGUGAAGAUAUCGCCAGCUGUAAGCGUUGUUGGAAAUGGGGUGUUGUCACCGUAUGUCGCCUCAUUCUCGUCAAGAGGCCCGAGCCUUGCUUUCCCUCGCAUACUCAAGCCCGACAUUGCUGCACCUGGCGUCGGCAUCUUGGCAGCGGAGCGUGACUCCUACGUGUUCCAUUCUGGGACAUCCAUGGCAUGCCCACAUGUCUCUGCGGUGACGGCGUUGCUCAAGUCAGUUCACCCUAACUGGUCACCUGCCAUGAUCAAGUCUGCCAUUGUCACCACGGCAUCUGUGACCGAUCAGUUUGGUAUGCCGAUCCAAGCAAACGGAGUCCCAAGGAAACUAGCCGACCCUUUCGACUUUGGCGGUGGCCAUAUGGACCCUGACAGAGCUGUUGACCCUGGCCUGGUUUAUGACCUUGACGCAAGGGAGUACAACAAGUUCUUGAACUGCACCCAAGGAUUAUCAGACGGUUGCAAGUCCUACAAUCUUAACCUCAACCUCCCGUCAAUCACUGUGCCAGACCUUAAGGGCCAUGUCAUUCUUAGGCGCACUGUGACUAACGUUGGGCCAGCAGAAGCAACAUAUCAUUUAGUGGUUGAAGCUCCAGCGGGGAUAGAUGUGUCGGUGGAACCAUCUGUGAUCAGUUUCACCCAAGGCAACAGUAGAAGCGCGACAUUUAUGGUGACAUUCACAACAAGGCAGAGAGUGCAAGGAGGAUACACUUUUGGGAGCUUGACAUGGUCAGACGGAAGUACCCGCUCAGUGAGAAUUCCUGUUGCGGUACGAACUGUGAUACAAGACUUUGUUGCGGACACGUCCUAA
rnacentral:rRNA from 1 species